GGCAGAAAAAACACAUUUUACAAAACCUCCCAAAGUACUCCCAAAACACUUGAUAUCCCCACAAUUAGUACAUCAACUGAUAGCCCUGAUUUGGGUGACCACCAUAUCCACAAAUCACCCAGAUCAGUUCAGGGGUUCAGGAAUUUCCUGGAAGUCUUAUUCUGACCAACCGCACGCAUGGUUUCAUGCCCAAAACAGUUCUAGAGAAUCAGGCUGUGCAGCUGAUCUACUUUGGGGAUGCAAAGUGCAGUUUGAAAUACCUAGCGUAGCUGUUCGUGGAUAAAGUCAGUGUAUG